rnacentral:rRNA from 1 species
UUAAGCGACUAAGCGUACACGGUGGAUGCCCUGGCAGUCAGAGGCGAUGAAGGACGUGCUAAUCUGCGAAAAGCGUCGGUAAGGUGAUAUGAACCGUUAUAACCGGCGAUGUCCGAAUGGGGAAACCCAGUGUGAUUCGUCACACUAUCGUUAACUGAAUACAUAGGUUAACGAGGCGAACCGGGGGAACUGAAACAUCUAAGUACCCCGAGGAAAAGAAAUCAACCGAGAUUCCCCCAGUAGCGGCGAGCGAACGGGGAGCAGCCCAGAGUCUGAAUCAGCUUGUGUGUUAGUGGAACGGUCUGGAAAGUCCGACGGUACAGGGUGAUAGUCCCGUACACCAAAAUGCACAGGUUGUGAACUCGAAGAGUAGGGCGGGACACGUGGUAUCCUGUCUGAAUAUGGGGGGACCAUCCUCCAAGGCUAAAUACUCCUGACUGACCGAUAGUGAACCAGUACCGUGAGGGAAAGGCGAAAAGAACCCCGGCGAGGGGAGUGAAAAAGAACCUGAAACCGUGUACGUACAAGCAGUGGGAGCACCUUCGGGUGUGACUGCGUACCUUUUGUAUAAUGGGUCAGCGACUUAUAUUCUGUAGCAAGGUUAACCGUAUAGGGGAGCCGCAGGGAAACCGAGUCUUAACUGGGCGUUAAGUUGCAGGGUAUAGACCCGAAACCCGGUGAUCUAGCCAUGGGCAGGUUGAAGGUUGGGUAACACUAACUGGAGGACCGAACCGACUAAUGUUGAAAAAUUAGCGGAUGACUUGUGGCUGGGGGUGAAAGGCCAAUCAAACCGGGAGAUAGCUGGUUCUCCCCGAAAGCUAUUUAGGUAGCGCCUCGUGAACUCAUCUUCGGGGGUAGAGCACUGUUUCGGCUAGGGGGUCAUCCCGACUUACCAACCCGAUGCAAACUACGAAUACCGAAGAAUGUUAUCACGGGAGACACACGGCGGGUGCUAACGUCCGUCGUGAAGAGGGAAACAACCCAGACCGCCAGCUAAGGUCCCAAAGUCAUGGUUAAGUGGGAAACGAUGUGGGAAGGCACAGACAGCGGAUGUUGGCUUAGAAGCAGCCAUCAUUUAAAAGCGUAAUAGCUCACUGGUCGAGUCGGCCUGCGCGGAAGAUGUAACGGGGCUAAACCAUGCACCGAAGCUGCGGCAGCGACACUAUGUGUUGUUGGGUAGGGGAGCGUUCUGUAAGCCUGCGAAGGUGACCUGUGAGGGUUGCUGGAGGUAUCAGAAGUGCGAAUGCUGACAUAAGUAACGAUAAAGCGGGUGAAAAGCCCGCUCGCCGGAAGACCAAGGGUUCCUGUCCAACGUUAAUCGGGGCAGGGUGAGUCGACCCCUAAGGCGAGGCCGAAAGGCGUAGUCGAUGGGAAACAGGUUAAUAUUCCUGUACUUGGUGUUACUGCGAAGGGGGGACGGAGAAGGCUAUGUUAGCCGGGCGACGGUUGUCCCGGUUUAAGCAUGUAGGCUGGUUGUCCAGGCAAAUCCGGAUAAUCAAGGCUGAGGUGUGAUGACGAGGCACUACGGUGCUGAAGUAACAAAUGCCCUGCUUCGGGGAAAGCCUCUAAGCAUCAGGUAACAUCAAAUCGUACCCCAAACCGACACAGGUGGUCAGGUAGAGAAUACCAAGGCGCUUGAGAGAACUCGGGUGAAGGAACUAGGCAAAAUGGUGCCGUAACUUCGGGAGAAGGCACGCUGGUGUAGGUGAAGUCCCUGCGGAUGGAGCUGAGACCAGUCGAAGAUACCAGCUGGCUGCAACUGUUUAUUAAAAACACAGCACUGUGCAAACACGAAAGUGGACGUAUACGGUGUGACGCCUGCCCGGUGCCGGAAGGUUAAUUAAUGGGGUUAUCCGUAAGGAGAAGCUCUUGAUCGAAGCCCCGUAAACGGCGGCCGUAACUAUAACGGUCCUAAGGUAGCGAAAUUCCUUGUCGGGUAAGUUCCGACCUGCACGAAUGGCGUAAUGAUGGCGGGCUGUCUCCACCCGAGACUCAGUGAAAUUGAACUCGCUGUGAAGAUGCAGUGUACCCGCGGCAAGACGGAAAGACCCCGUGAACCUUUACUAUAGCUUGACACUGAACAUUGAGCCUUGAUGUGUAGGAUAGGUGGGAGGCUUUGAAGCGUGGACGCCAGUCUGCGUGGAGCCAACCUUGAAAUACCACCCUUUAAUGUUUGAUGUUCUAACGUUGGCCCCUUACCGGGGUUGCGGACAGUGUCUGGUGGGUAGUUUGACUGGGGCGGUCUCCUCCCAAAGCGUAACGGAGGAGCACGAAGGUUAGCUAAUCCUGGUCGGACAUCAGGAGGUUAGUGCAAUGGCAUAAGCUAGCUUGACUGCGAGCGUGACGGCGCGAGCAGGUGCGAAAGCAGGUCAUAGUGAUCCGGUGGUUCUGAAUGGAAGGGCCAUCGCUCAACGGAUAAAAGGUACUCCGGGGAUAACAGGCUGAUACCGCCCAAGAGUUCAUAUCGACGGCGGUGUUUGGCACCUCGAUGUCGGCUCAUCACAUCCUGGGGCUGAAGUAGGUCCCAAGGGUAUGGCUGUUCGCCAUUUAAAGUGGUACGCGAGCUGGGUUUAGAACGUCGUGAGACAGUUCGGUCCCUAUCUGCCGUGGGCGCUGGAGAAUUGAGGGGGGCUGCUCCUAGUACGAGAGGACCGGAGUGGACGCAUCACUGGUGUUCGGGUUGUCAUGCCAAUGGCACUGCCCGGUAGCUAAAUGCGGAAGAGAUAAGUGCUGAAAGCAUCUAAGCACGAAACUUGCCCCGAGAUGAGUUCUCCCUGAGACUUUAAGUCUCCUGAAGGAACGUUGAAGACGACGACGUUGAUAGGCCGGGUGUGUAAGCGCAGCGAUGCGUUGAGCUAACCGGUACUAAUGAACCGUGAGGCUUAACCU